rnacentral:misc_RNA from 1 species
UCUCCGUUGGUGAACCAGCGGAGGGAUCAUUACAGAGUUGCAAAACUCCCAAACCCCUGUGAACAUACCUGAGACGUUGCUUCGGUGGGCGGCCCCAGGGCGGGGCCAUAUGCCUAUUGGUGCCCACCGGAGGACCCAAACUCUUCUAUAUUUUAGUGGUCUCUCUGAGAAAAUAUAUAAUAAGUCAAAACUUUCAACAACGGAUCUCUUGGUUCUGGCAUCGAUGAAGAACGCAGC